rnacentral:rRNA from 1 species
CUUGGUUCCGGCAUCGAUGAAGAACUCAGCGAAAUGCGAUAACUAGUGUGAAUUGCAGAAUUCCGUGAAUCAUCGAGUCUUUGAACGCACAUUGCGCCCCCUGGUAUUCCGGGGGGCAAGCGUCAUUGCUGCCCAUCAAGCACGGCUUGUGUGUUGG